UGAGUAACACGUGAGCAACCUGCCCUUCACUUCGGGAUAAGCCUUGGAAACGAGGUCUAAUACCGGAUACGACACACCUGCGCAUGCGGAGUGUGUGGAAAGUUUUUCGGUGGGGGAUGGGCUCGCGGCCUAUCAGCUUGUUGGUGGGGUGAUGGCCUACCAAGGCGACGACGGGUAGCCGGCCUGAGAGGGCGACCGGCCACACUGGGACUGAGACACGGCCCAGACUCCUACGGGAGGCAGCAGUGGGGAAUAUUGCACAAUGGGCGAAAGCCUGAUGCAGCGACGCCGCGUGAGGGAUGAAGGCCUUCGGGUUGUAAACCUCUUUCGGCAGGGAAGAAGCGAAAGUGACGGUACCUGCAGAAGAAGCGCCGGCUAACUACGUGCCAGCAGCCGCGGUAAUACGUAGGGCGCAAGCGUUGUCCGGAAUUAUUGGGCGUAAAGAGCUCGUAGGCGGUUUGUCGCGUCUGCUGUGAAAUCCUCAGGCUCAACCUGGGGCUUGCAGUGGGUACGGGCAGACUAGAGUGCGGUAGGGGUGACUGGAAUUCCUGGUGUAGCGGUGGAAUGCGCAGAUAUCAGGAGGAACACCGAUGGCGAAGGCAGGUCACUGGGCCGCAACUGACGCUGAGGAGCGAAAGCAUGGGGAGCGAACAGGAUUAGAUACCCUGGUAGUCCAUGCCGUAAACGUUGGGCACUAGGUGUGGGUCCCAUUCCACGGGUUCCGUGCCGCAGCAAACGCAUUAAGUGCCCCGCCUGGGGAGUACGGCCGCAAGGCUAAAACUCAAAGAAAUUGACGGGGGCCCGCACAAGCGGCGGAGCAUGCGGAUUAAUUCGAUGCAACGCGAAGAACCUUACCAAGGCUUGACAUACACCGGGAAAAGUGCAGAGAUGUGCUCCCCCGUAAGGUCGGUGUACAGGUGGGUGCAUGGGUUGUCGUCAGCUCGUGUCGUGAGAUGUUGGGUUAAGUCCCGCACCAAGCGCAACCCUUCGUCCAUGGUUGCAGCGGGGUAUGCCCGGGGACUCAUGGGAAAACUGGCGGGGGUCAACUUCGGAAGGAAGGUGGGGGAUGAACGUCAAAUCAUCCAUGGCCCCUUAAUGUCUUGGGGCUUCCCCGCAUGGCUACAAUGGGCCGGGUACAAAAGGGGCUGCGAAUGCCCGCAAGGGCGGAACGGAAUCCCCAAAAAAGCCCGGUCCUCAAUUUCCGGAAUUGGGGGGUUUGGCAAUUUCGACCCCCAUUGGA
rnacentral:rRNA from 1 species